rnacentral:rRNA from 1 species
CCUACGGGAGGCAGCAGUGAGGAAUAUUGGUCAAUGGACGAAAGUCUGAACCAGCCAUGCAGCGUGCAGGAUGACUGCCCUAUGGGUUGUAAACUUCUUUUAUAUGGGAAUAAAAUGUUCCACGUGUGGGAUUUUGUAUGUACCAUAUGAAUAAGGAUCGGCUAACUCCGUGCCAGCAGCCGCGGUAAUACGGAGGAUCCGAGCGUUAUCCGGAUUUAUUGGGUUUAAAGGGUGCGUAGGUGGAUUGUUAAGUCAGUUGUGAAAGUUUGCGGCUCAACCGUAAAAUUGCAUUUGAAACUGGCAGUCUUGAGUACAGUAGCGGUAGGCGGAAUUCGUGGUGUAGCGGUGAAAUGCUUAGAGAUCACGAAGAACUCCGAUUGCGAAGGCGGCUUACUGGACUGUAAAUGACGCUGAGGCUCGAAAGCGUGGGGAGCAAACAGGAUUAGAUACCCUUGUAGUC